rnacentral:rRNA from 1 species
AUUGAACGCUGGCGGCAGGCCUAACACAUGCAAGUCGAGCGGAGCGGCGGACGGGUGAGUAAUGCCUAGGAAUCUGCCUGGUAGUGGGGGAUAACGUCAGGAAACGGGCGCUAAUACCGCAUACUAUCAGAUUAGCCUAGGUCGGAUUAGCUAGUGGGUGGGGUAAAUGCCUACCAAGGCGACGAUCCGUAACUGGUCUCAGAGGAGGAUCAGUCACACGUGGACUGGGACACGUGCCAGACUCCGACGGCAGGCAGCAGUGGGGAAGAUUGGACAAUGGGCGAAAGCCUGAUCCAUCCAUGCCGCGGGUGUGAAGAAGGUCUUCGGAGUGUAAAGCACUUUAAGUUGGGAGGCGUUACCAACAGAAUAAGCACCGGCUAACUUCGUGCCAGCAGCCGCGGUAAUAC